GGUUUUCCAUGGGGCUGCAGGGGGUUUCUUUUCUCCUCAGCCAGGGCAAAAGGCCAAGAUCAACCCUUGAGGGUUACUGUCAGGGCUGUCAUGAGCCUUGAUUUCCUACUUCAGACAUUA